AAAAAGCUCGUAGUUGGAUUUCUGUUGAGGACGGCCGGUCCGCAUUAUGUGCGUGUAUCUGGUGCGGCCUUGGCAUCCUCCAGGGGAACGUUCCUGCGCUUCGCUGCGUGGGACGGUAUUCUGGACUUUUACUUUGAGGAAAUUAGAGUGUUCACGGCAGGCAGUCGCCUUGAAUAUAUUAGCAUGGAAUAAUAAUAUAGGACCUUGAUUCUAUUUUGUUGGUUUCUAGAAUUUAGGUAAUGAUUAAUAGGGACAAUUGGGGGCAUUUGUAUUAACACGUCAGAGGUGGAAUUCU
rnacentral:rRNA from 1 species